CUACAGGGGUUUCUAAUCCUGUUUGCUCCCCACACUUUCGCACCUCAGCGACAGUAGCGAGCCAGUGAGCCGCCUUCGCCACUGGUGUUCCUCCGAAUAUCUACGAAUUUCACCUCUACACUCGUAAUUCCACUCACCUCUCUCGAACUCAAGACCAGCAGUAUCAAAGGCAGUUCCGGGGUUGAGCCCCGGGAUUUCACCCCUGACUGACUGAUCCGCCUACGCGCGCUUUACGAUCAGUAAUUCCGAACAACGCUUGCACCCAU
rnacentral:rRNA from 1 species